ACCGGCGCACGGGUGCGUAACGCGUAUGCAAUCUACCUUGUACAGGGGGAUAGCCCAGAGAAAUUUGGAUUAAUACCCCAUAGUAUCUUUUGAAGGCAUCUUCAAAUUAUUAAAGUUCCAACGGUACAAGAUGAGCAUGCGUCCCAUUAGUUAGUUGGUGUGGUAACGGCACACCAAGACGAUGAUGGGUAGGGGUCCUGAGAGGGAGAUCCCCCACACUGGUACUGAGACACGGACCAGACUCCUACGGGAGGCAGCAGUGAGGAAUAUUGGGCAAUGGAGGCAACUCUGACCCAGCCAUGCCGCGUGCAGGAAGACGGCCCUAUGGGUUGUAAACUGCUUUUGUACGGGAAGAAGCACUCCUACGUGUAGGAGCUUGACGGUACCGUAAGAAUAAGGAUCGGCUAACUCCGUGCCAGCAGCCGCGGUAAUACGGAGGAUCCAAGCGUUAUCCGGAAUCAUUGGGUUUAAAGGGUCCGUAGGCGGCCUUAUAAGUCAGUGGUGAAAUCUCCUAGCUCAACUAGGAAACUGCCAUUGAUACUGUAGGGCUUGAAUUUUUGUGAAGUAACUAGAAUAUGUAGUGUAGCGGUGAAAUGCUUACAUAUUACAUGGAAUACCAAUUGUGAAGGCAGGUUACUAACAAACGAUUGACGCUGAUGGACGAAAGCGUGGGGAGCGAACAAGAUUAGAUACCCUGGUAGUCCAC
rnacentral:rRNA from 1 species